GACGAACGCUGGCGGCGUGCUUAACACAUGCAAGUCGAACGGAAAGGCCCUGCUUUUGUGGGGUGCUCGAGUGGCGAACGGGUGAGUAACACGUGAGUAACCUGCCCUUGACUUUGGGAUAACUUCAGGAAACUGGGGCUAAUACCGGAUAGGAGCUCCUGCUGCAUGGUGGGGGUUGGAAAGUUUCGGCGGUUGGGGAUGGACUCGCGGCUUAUCAGCUUGUUGGUGGGGUAGUGGCUUACCAAGGCUUUGACGGGUAGCCGGCCUGAGAUGGUGACCGGCCACAUUGGGACUGAGAUACGGCUCAGACUCCUACGGGAGGCAGCAGUGGGGAAUAUUGCACAAUGGGCGGAAGCCUGAUGCAGCAACGCCGCGUGCGGGAUGACGGCCUUCGGGUUGUAAACCGCUUUCGCCUGUGACGAAGCGUGAGUGACGGUAAUGGGUAAAGAAGCACCGGCUAACUACGUG
rnacentral:rRNA from 1 species